rnacentral:rRNA from 1 species
UACGUAGGGGGCAAGCGUUGUCCGGAUUUAUUGGGCGUAAAGAGCGUGUAGGCGGUCAGGUAGGUCCGUUGUGAAAACUCGAGGCUCAACCUCGAGACGCCGAUGGAAACCAUCUGACUAGAGUCCGGAAGAGGAGAGUGGAAUUCCUGGUGUAGCGGUGAAAUGCGCAGAUAUCAGGAAGAACCCCCGUGGCGAAGGCGGCUCUCUGGGACGGUACUGACGCUGAGACGCGAAAGCGUGGGGAGCGAACAGG